UACAGAGGGUGCGAGCGUUGUUCGGAAUUACUGGGCGUAAAGCGCGUGUAGGCGGCGGGAUAAGUCGCAUGUGAAAGCCCAGGGCUCAACCCUGGAAUUGCCUUUGAUACUGACUGUCUUGAGUACGGGAGAGGUGUGUGGAACUCCGAGUGUAGAGGUGAAAUUCGUAGAUAUUCGGAAGAACACCAGUGGCGAAGGCGACACACUGGCCCGUUACUGACGCUGAGGCGCGAAAGCGUGGGGAGCAAACAGG
rnacentral:rRNA from 1 species